rnacentral:rRNA from 1 species
GAUGAACGCUGGCGGCAUGCCUAACACAUGCAAGUCGAACGAGGCCCUUCGGGGUUUAGUGGCGCACGGGUGCGUAACGCGUGGGAAUCUGCCCUUUGGUUCGGAAUAACAGCUGGAAACGGCUGCUAAUACCGGAUGAUGACGAGAGUCCAAAGAUUUAUCGCCAGAGGAUGAGCCCGCGUUGGAUUAGGUAGUUGGUGGGGUAAAGGCCUACCAAGCCGACGAUCCAUAGCUGGUCUGAGAGGAUGAUCAGCCACACUGGGACUGAGACACGGCCCAGACUCCUACGGGAGGCAGCAGUGGGGAAUAUUGGACAAUGGGCGCAAGCCUGAUCCAGCAAUGCCGCGUGAGUGAUGAAGGCCCUAGGGUUGUAAAGCUCUUUUACCCGGGAAGAUAAUGACUGUACCGGGAGAAUAAGCCCCGGCUAACUCCGUG